UUACGACCAUAUCACGAUGAAAUACCGGUUCUCGUAUGAUCCCUGAAGUUAAGCAACGUCUAACCUGGUCAGUAUUUAGAUGGGUGACAUCUUGGGAAUACCAGGUG